rnacentral:rRNA from 1 species
UACGUAGGGACCAAGCGUUGUUCGGAUUUACUGGGCUUAAAGGGUGCGUAGGCGGCGCGGUAAGUCGGGUGUGAAAUCUCGGAGCUUAACUCCGAAACUGCAUUCGAUACUGCCGUGCUUGAGGACUGGAGAGGAGACUGGAAUUUACGGUGUAGCGGUGAAAUGCGUAGAUAUCGUAAGGAAGACCAGUGGCGAAGGCGGGUCUCUGGACAGUUCCUGACGCUGAGGCGCGAAGGCCAGGGGAGCAAACGGG